UCCGGCAAGUGUGUGAAGCUACCACAUGAAGAUUAAAUUGAGUAACCGAAAAAGGUUAAAAAAAAAAAUUGAAUAUUUUAGAAUUUUCGGAGUUAUAAGGUGGUAAGUUGAAAAGAUGCUCAAAGAGCCACCCCCGGUGCCAUAUUAGUUAAAUCUCUAUUUUGAACGUAUUGCGACAAAUUGGUGUCAAUUUUGUUGAAUUUCUAAAAAUCAUUUUUCAUCAAC
rnacentral:lncRNA from 1 species